rnacentral:rRNA from 1 species
GACGUAGGUGGCGAGCGUUGUUCGGAAUCACUGGGCAUAAAGCGCACGUAGGCGGCCAAGUCAGUCAGGUGUGAAAUACCUCGGCUCAACCGAGGAACUGCGCCUGAUACUGCUUGGCUUGAGGUCCGGAGGGGAGAGUGGAAUUCCCGGUGGAGCGGUGAAAUGCGUAGAGAUCGGGAAGAACGCCGGCGGCGAAAGCGACUCUCUGGUCGGAAUCUGACGCUGAGGUGCGAAAGCGUAGGGGAGAAACGGG